AUAAAUGCAAUAAUAAACACAAUGGUAUACAAAUACUUCUUGUGACCAUCGAACAUCAUUUCUCAACUUAAACUCCUAAAAUUCUUGAUAACUGAAUUUAAAUUCCUCAAUUGCAAUAAUAUAAUCAAUAACAAUUGACAGUACAACAAAAUUUGUAUCAGAUUGCAAGACACAGAACUCGAAAAACAUCCCUUCGCUUCUUUUCUCCCUCGAUCUAAACAUUCAAUCACAUCUUUAUUCUGUCCAGCCCAAUUCCCUUUAUCUCUUCACCUUGUAUCAAUUCACCCCCGUUCCACCCUAUGUUCUUUUUCUUUUUUUUCUUUCAGCCACUCUUCGACUACUUUAUCAAUCAAUUCCAGGCUCGUUUAAUGCGUACACGUCGAUGAAUCGUCGAGGCGACGUACAGACAGGCGGGCAGACGUAGUCUUACAUGCGGUCCGCUUGCACAUGCACGCUUUGGCGGCUUUAUGGAGAGCAGACACAGAGGAGAGGCCGCACGUCCUGACCGCGCGCGAGCAUGGUCGCGCGAUAAUCCUGUGAUGGAUGUCCCUAGGUAGUCGGUAAGCCCUGCCAGCCAAGCUGCUCGCCACGUCGGUGUGUUUACCCAGACGGAAGCCGUCUGGCGGCGAUAGGAGGACCGACCUAUCGCGUGCGGUGUGUGCGGGCGAUACGUCGCUUCUACUUCGACUACCACUAGGAUAUGCACCUCCGACGAGACGGCGUUUCAACAACGUAUCUAGCCAGCGAAUAAUCGCGGCGGCGGCAGACCUCGCACCGAGAGCGGGGGCAGCUCCUUUUUUUCCGAUCCUCCGAUCUGAUUGAUCGCGACGAUCACCCGCGCGAUGGAAAGCACCGACGGGUACACGUCGUUUAACGUCACCCCUUCUGGGAGGUGGAUACGUUGACGGCAAGCUAAUUUGUGGAGAUGUUCUUCGGCAAAGAAAACGGAUGCAUGAUGGGUAUUAGGCAUGGUGUGGUUCGGGUUGCUUGUUGAUAUAAAAGAUGCGAGAUAACAGUAAUGUCAGGAAAAUCUGCCAUUUAACUUGUGUGGUCGAUUGGAGAAUGUACACGACAUUUAAAUCUAUAUGAAUUUAUUUUUGAUACGAUGGAAGUUGUAAGUGUAUAUAAGAAGAUAUAA
rnacentral:misc_RNA from 1 species